UGUGGGCUGCUGCCUGCAGAGAGCCAGCAGGUGCCGCUGGGCUGGGUCUGCCAAGGACACUUUCCUGACAAUACCAGCAGUUAGAUAGAAUCACACAAACCUAUCUAUUUAAACCUACAUUGCCAGUACCAACCGGAAAUCAUAAUGCACAAGUGAACUGAAGGGUCAUUUCUUCUGCUGUGAAGAUGCUUUGCAAGUGGAAGACUGAAACCACUGGAAGACAAGAGAAUGGUUGUUGAUAACAGGAUUGAGCUACUGCGAUUGCUGCCUUGAGGGGUUCCCCCUCCACACUCACAGAACACCUGAGCCGGAUGAGGAGGUGGAAGAAAAGAACUCCGGAUGAUAUAUUCAGUGAGGUCCUGCAAGACAGUGCUGAAUCAGAGGGCUUGGAGGAUGAAUACUGCAGACUGUAUGGAGAAGGAAAAAGCAGACAAAGAGGGAGAUGCACCAGGAUAUAAUGGGGCUUCUCCAGCAGCAAACACAUAUGCUGCAGACUCUUGUGGACCUACAAGUUCAACAAUCCUCAGUUCGCCUAUCUUGCAGUUCAUGGAGAACUCCAGUAUAGUACCUCCCUACAUGAGCCCCUCAACAUUCCACACAGCAUCAGGGGCCACAUCCCUACCGCUACCACUCCACCUCAGGGAACAUUAAGGAAAACCACAGCUUCACAUACAUCAACA